rnacentral:rRNA from 1 species
CUUAGGGAUAAGGGGUGCCACCAUCAGGUGGCCGCAGAGAAUAGGCCCAAGCGACUGUUUACCAAAAACAUAGGUUUCUGCUAAGUCGCAAGACGAUGGAUAGGAGCUGACGCCUGCCCGGUGCUGGAAGGUUAAGGGGAUCUGUUAGAGCAAUCGAAGCAGUGAACUUAAGCCCCAGUAAACGGCGGCCGUAACUAUAACGG